GGGAUGUGUUUAUUAGACUAAGAACCAAUGCCCUCUGGGCUCUCUGGUGAUUCAUGAUAACUGCGCGAAUCGCACGGCCUUGCGCCGGCGAUGGUUCAUUCAAAUUUCUUCCCUAUCAACUUUCGAUGUUUGGGUAGUGGCCAAACAUGGUUGCAACGGGUAACGGAGGGUUAGGGCUCGACCCCGGAGAAGGAGCCUGAGAAACGGCUACUACAUCCAAGGAAGGCAGCAGGCGCGCAAAUUACCCAAUCCCGACGCGGGGAGGUAGUGACAAUAAAUACUGAUACAGGGCUCUUUUGGGUCUUGUAAUUGGAAUGAGUACAAUUUAAAUCCCUUAACGAGGAACAAUUGGAGGGCAAGUCUGGUGCCAGCAGCCGCGGUAAUUCCAGCUCCAAUAGCGUAUAUUAAAGUUGUUGUGGUUAAAAAGCUCGUAGUUGAACCUUGGGCCUGGCUGGCCGGUCCGCCUCACCGCGUGCACUGGUCCGGCCGGGCCUUUCCCUCUGUGGAACCCCAUGCCCUUCACUGGGCGUGGCGGGGAAGCAGGACUUUUACUUUGAAAAAAUUAGAGUGCUCCAGGCAGGCCUAUGCUCGAAUACAUUAGCAUGGAAUAAUGAAAUAGGACGCGCGGUUCUAUUUUGUUGGUUUCUAGGACCGCCGUAAUGAUUAAUAGGGACAGUCGGGGGCAUCAGUAUUCAAUUGUCAGAGGUGAAAUUCUUGGAUCAAUUGAAGACUAACUACUGCGAAAGCAUUUGCCAAGGAUGUUUUCAUUAAUCAGGAACGAAAGUUAGGGGAUCGAAGACGAUCAGAUACCGUCGUAGUCUUAACCAUAAACUAUGCCGACUAGGGAUCGGAC
rnacentral:rRNA from 1 species